rnacentral:rRNA from 1 species
AGUGAACGCUGGCGGUAGGCCUAACACAUGCAAGUCGAACGGCAGCACAGUAAGAGCUUGCUCUUACGGGUGGCGAGUGGCGGACGGGUGAGGAAUACAUCGGAAUCUACUUUUUCGUGGGGGAUAACGUAGGGAAACUUACGCUAAUACCGCAUACGACCUACGGGUGAAAGCAGGGGAUCUUCGGACCUUGCGCGAUUGAAUGAGCCGAUGUCGGAUUAGCUAGUUGGCGGGGUAAAGGCCCACCAAGGUGACGAUCCGUAGCUGGUCUGUGAGGAUGAUCAGCCACACUGGAACUGAGACACGGUCCAGACUCCUACGGGAGGCAGCAGUGGGGAAUAUUGGACAAUGGGCGCAAGCCUGAUCCAGCCAUACCGCGUGGGUGAAGAAGGCCUUCGGGUUGUAAAGCCCUUUUGUUGGGAAAGAAAAGCAGCAGGUUAAUACCCCGCUGUUCUGACGGUACCCAAAGAAUAAGCACCGGCUAACCUCGUG